rnacentral:rRNA from 1 species
GACGAACGCUGGCGGCGUGCCUAAUACAUGCAAGUUGAGCGCUGAAGGUUGGUACUUGUACCAACUGGAUGAGCAGCGAACGGGUGAGUAACGCGUGGGGAAUCUGCCUUUGAGCGGGGGACAACAUUUGGAAACGAAUGCUAAUACCGCAUAAAAACUUUAAACACAAGUUUUAAGUUUGAAAGAUGCAAUUGCAUCACUCAAAGAUGAUCCCGCGUUGUAUUAGCUAGUUGGUGAGGUAAAGGCUCACCAAGGCGAUGAUACAUAGCCGACCUGAGAGGGUGAUCGGCCACAUUGGGACUGAGACACGGCCCAAACUCCUACGGGAGGCAGCAGUAGGGAAUCUUCGGAAAUGGACGAAAGUCUGACCGAGCAACGCCGCGUGAGGGAAGAAGGUUUUCGGAUCGUAAAACUCUGUUGGUAGAGAAGAACGUUGGUGAGAGUGGAAAGCUCAUCAAGUGACGGUAACUACCCAGAAAGGGACGGCUAACUACGUG